GGGGGCGAUCGGAUUCGACUGGUUCGCCGUAUGUUAGGGUGGCGUGCCGUGGUUGAUCAGUUGGCCACGUUAAAAGCUGAUCACAACAUAAUUGCAAACAAGCAAUUUUCAAUGGCUGCUUAAUUUAGCAACCCCGGCUUAGGAAUCCCUGUCUGAGGAGUCCGAAGGCUGGUCACAAAAUCAGACUGGCAUCAGAUCAAUGUCCGCUCCGUCUGAUGCGAGAUCCGUGGUGGACUGGUUUCCGAAAGGCUUUGUUUGUCGUGCCCGAAGAAACGAGACUCAAACGAUAAAAUACGCACGUAGAGGCUUUAGCUGAGGGUUCACAGGACGCGGGUUCAAUUCCCGCCGCCUCCAUCC
rnacentral:tmRNA from 1 species